UCGCAGUUUCCGCUCCGUGGUAUGCAGGCCCGCCUAAACAGAUAUAUCAACGAGGUACGUCUACUCGAGAUUAGGGGUUUCAGAAUAAUACCUUGCAGAGACAUCGAGACAUCGAGAUGGGAGAAGGAGAAAAAUAAAAAAUAAAAAUAACGCAGAAACGAGAAGAAUUAAUAAACGUGUCACGUGAUUUAAAAACAAGUAAAACGAGACUUCGUCUGGAAGACUGCAUGUUUUAUGCAGCAACUCGGUUAUCAAUAUCCACGAUGAAAUGAGAAGGAAUAAAAUAUUCACGAUUGUUUUCAGAACUCUCGAACGGUCUUUCGUUCGUGGAAUCGUUCUUUCAACUAAAGAAAGUAUCGCGUAGCCAGAUCGAUCAAACGCGUCCAUUACGACAAAGUUCAUAAAAGGGUAGAUUGAGAAGAUGGCAGGGAAUAAAAAUAGAAGAAGCAUACGAGCGAGAACCCUUACAAACGUUAUAUUUAGUCGGCAUUGUCGCCUAUGUAUGUUUCCACGUUGAUAUUUCCAUAUAAAUUCGUCCGCUUGAAAUAUGAAGCUUUCUACACGAAUAACAAUAUGCAACACGGAACUAUCUUGCACUUCCGUGAGAAUAUAAAGAGGAUUAUAAGCAUCUUGCAUUCCCUGAAUCACGAGCAUUUGACGAUUCGUUCAUUCAUUCAUUCAGGAAUUUAUAUGAAUUUGCUUUUAUAUGAAUCGCCGUUUUGAAUAAUUUGUUGGAAAGGAUGAAAAGGAGAACAAAUGAUGAAUUUUAAGUAGGGAAUAUUAUCGCGAAUCGCAUAUAAAGAACAAUGAAUUAUUUGUAUUGAGGAUUAAAUAAUGAAAUAAUGAAAUGCAUGAAAGUCAAUUAUGGAAGUUAAUUACAUAUAUCAGAGAUACAAAAAUUGGAUUCAUAAAUAUGGUAAAUAUGGUUUAAUUUAUUUAAUGUUAUCAUAGUAAAUGUAAAUAUUCUAAUAUAUUCAAAUUUUAAUUAAUUGAAGUGGAAGAUUUUCGUUAGCUCUAAUUCUAUAUUCAAACAAACUUUCCCAUAAAGGCAUAAAUCCUUAAUCCAUCAUUAUAGUUAAUCUUUAAAUACAACUUUACAAUUUCAAUCCCUUUUGCAAAUACCAGAUAUUUAUGUACCAAACAUCAUUGUAAGUUUCCACGGCGAAACCAUCCCGUUUUAUCAAAAUAAUAUUGAUUUUAUAAUUUUGUUUAUAUAUAAAUAUAUAUACAUAUAAUAAAUAUUUACUUGAUGAUCUGCAAA